GAGAGCCGGAUGCAUAUUGAAAAGUGCAUGUCCGGUUCGGAGAGAGGGCAAGCGAAACCGAUAGUUGAGAAACUAUUAGGCGCGCUUGCUCUACUCUAC
rnacentral:ncRNA from 1 species